ACCUGGUGCAGUGGUGCGUGCCUGUAGUCCCAGCUACUCGGGAGGCUGAGAUGGGAGGAUUGCUUGAGCCCAGGAGUUUUGGGCUGCAGUGCACUAUGCCCAAUCAGGUGUCUGCACUAAGUUCAGCAUCAAUAUGGUAACCUCCGGGGAGCGGGGGACCACUGGGUUGCCUAAGGAGGGGUGAACCGGCCCAGGCUGGAAAUGGAGCAGGUCAAAACUCCCAUGCUGAUCAGUAGUGGGAUCGCGCCUGUUAAUAGCCACUGCACUCCAGCCUGGGCAACAUAGCGAGAACUCGUCUCU
rnacentral:SRP_RNA from 1 species